AUUUUUAGAGCAUGGAGUUUUAUGGGUCGUUACACUGCCAGCUCUAAUUAUAAUUGAGGCGCAGACCGCAAAAGUUGCCUAUAUUCUAUUAAAUCAUAAACGGUGGUAAAUUUGGUUUGAAUUUUGUUUCAUGAAAAAUCUAAAAAAUCAAUCAGUUAUACAUAGUAUAAUUUAAAUAAUUCCAAACAGCUUAUCAAUAUGUCAUUUUCUUAACUUUGGUGGAUCAGGCCACUACUUUGU